UACAAAUCUAUUUUUCAUUAAAAACAACCCUAUGUGAUGAAAAUGUAAAUGUACUUUCAAAACUGGUAAAUGCAUGAACCAGGGCAUUGACACUGGUUGGAGAGACUUUAUAGGCUUUGUUUAAUUAAUACCUAUUUCAUUUUAGGCUUCUACUGAUAAUGGAGAGUAGAAACAACAAGAAGUGCGUUAUUUGUAAUAAGAGGCGAAGUCGUGGUGGAUCACCCUUACUUUUGAGUAGGUUUCCUCUGGAUUCUGACCGUUGUCGAAUGUGGGUUAAAAAUGCUGGCAUAGAAGACUUAGCAUAUGUACCUAUUGAAAAGUUACACCAACUGAAGUUUGUUUGUGGUGGGCACUUCACUCCUGAAUCCUUCAAUGCCAAAGGAACUCGGCUGAAGAACUCAGCUAUUCCAACACUGGAAUUGAGCAAUCCCAUCUUGCCAGAUGAAGUUUUGACAGAGUUUCCUCUUCAUGUAAAAGACUCCAAUAAAGAAAACCUCAAGACAGUUCUUUAUGAUCAUUCAUAUUGCAUUCCAAAGAAGUCAAAUCCAGUUGAACGAGUUCCCCUUACAACAACCAAACAACUAAAUUCAACAUGUUUGGGAGCUGUGGAUAUACCAGAUUCUGGUAUUUCUGCGAAAACAACUUUUGAACCUCUUCCUUCUACUUCCAAUGCACCAGAACAUAUGACCUAUAAACCCAUUACUCAUGAUGAUAAAAACAUUUGCCAUCAAGAUGCACAGGCAGAAAUAUUAGUCCACAGUUAUAAAAGACCUAAGAAAAACAUUGAAAUGAAAGACACUUCAUCAACAUUUACAAUUAAAGAGAAGAGGCUUUGGCGACAGUUACAAAAUGCAAAAAAAACAAUAAGGAAUAUAGCGAAGUCAAGAGUGAAUUUAGACAAGUUAGAUUCGGAAGUGCUGACAUCGUUAGUAAAGGAUGUAGUGCAGAAUAACAAAAAAAAGUCACAAGGAAAAAGGUGGACUUUAGCCAACAAAAUAUAUGCUUUGGCUAUAUUUAAACGGUCCCCUAAAGCAUACCGCUAUAUGCAAAAGCUGUUUACGCUACCAAGCACUAAAACGCUCCAAAGGAUUUUAAAAAAUAUACCAAUGGAGCCUGGUAUAAAUAAAAAUAUAAUUGAUAUGUUAGAGGCAAAAGCAUCAAGUAUGCCAAAGGAAAAUAAAUAUUGCUCGUUAAUAUUUGACGAGAUGGCGUUAAAGAAACGGAUAAUUUAUAACGAAAUUGCUGAUAAAGUGGAUGGCUACGUGGAUUAUGGAGAGGGCGAGAACAUGGGACGAGAAAAGAAAAUUGCAGACCAUGCGUUAGUGUUUAUGAUACAGGGUGCUAAACAUAAAUACAAACAAUAUAUUGCGCACUAUUUUGUGGAAGGCACAAUAUCAACAGCAAAACUGGCAAAAAUUAUAUCGGACAUCAUCAAAAAAUUAAAAGAAAUCGGAUUUAUGGUUCUAACAACAGUUUGUGAUCAGGGAUCUACAAAUAUAGGAGCUCUUAACAUGUUAAAAAGAAACUGUGGACAAGGCAUAGAUAGCAACUUUUUCUCUGUAAAUAAUGACAAAAUUUUUAUAAUCUAUGACAUCCCUCACUUGUUCAAAUCAUUACGAAACAAUUUCUUUAAAAGUGGAAAUAUGUCUUUCGAUGGAAAAAUUGCACAAUGGAGGCAUUUGGUAGUUGCAGAAGAACACAACAGAAAUUUUUUAAAUUUUAAAAAACUGAAUAGUACCAUUGUAAAUCCAACAUUCAAAACUAAGAUGAGGGUGAAGUAUGCUGCGCAUGCUCUGAGUAAUACCGUGGCAGCUAUUUUAAAAAUGAUGGCAUGGAAAGAAGUUUCUGAUUGCAAUGAUACAGCAUUUGUGAUUGAACAGUUAGAUAAACUAUUUGAUUGUACAAAUGGUCCAUCAUCUUUAAAUGACGUAAAGAAAGGGAUCCGGGAAAAUGUUUCCACAUCAAGUAAUCACAUUGAGUCUUGGACCUUUUAUACUGAUAAGUUAAAAACCAUAAAAUUUAUAACAGCAGAAAACACGAUACUAAAAAAUGUUAAAUGCGUAAAGGGAUAUCAAAUAUCUAUCAAAUCCUUAAACGAUAUUUGGGAAAAGUUAAAGAAUGAAGGGUUUAAAUAUAUGAACCUUAGACAGUUUAACCAAGACUCUCUGGAAAACUUAUUUGGAAUCAUUAGGCAACACAGUGUAACCAAUAGAAAUCCCACUAUCACGCACUUUACUGCAGCGCUUAAAACAAGCAUGGUUACUGGGCUGAAAGUGCCUCAUAGCAGAAGUGCUAAUUGUGAAGCAGACAACAAUAAACAUAUGCUGGAAUAUAAAGACAUUUUAAAAACUAAUUUAAAAACAACAGAAAUAAAAAUUAAUGUUCAAGAUUCCACAGACACUGAAUUUUAUCCUGUGUUGUCUAUCCCGGACCCUGAAAACUUAGAACAGCCCAUUGAAAAUUUGUGUAGCCUUGAAAACCAACCAGUAGUAUAUGUAAGCGGGUAUUUAGCUGCCAAACUAUUACAGAACAGUUCUUGUUUAAUUUGUGAAGAGUGUUUGAGCGUGAAAACUCCUGUUGACAAUGAUUUGUAUGCAUAUAUAUCUCUUCGCGAAUGGUGGCAUGAUAAAAAAAGUCUCGUUUAUCCAACAAUUCAAUUAUGUACCACCGUAAAUGAAGCUAAACAAUUUUAUCAUGACCAUAUUACCGACCAGAUAUAUAUGGAAAAUGUUGGAAAAUUCAUUUUCUUAAUGUUGAGUACAAAUUGUAAUUUUAGUUGGUUUAAAUGUCAACAACAUAAUAAAGAAAUUUAUGAUAAGAUGUUUAAAAUAUUAAGUUACCUUUUUCUAAGAAAAAGUUGUAAAAUCAUUAAUGACAGCUUCAUAAAAAGUGAAAACAAUUUUGCUGACAAAAGUAAAAAAGCACAGCAACAAAGCAUUGAAAAGUAAUCUUGAGGCUGAGGUUCGAUCAGCUGAUAAGAAAAUUAAAGAUGUUUAUAAAUAAAAAUUCUAUUUUUUCUUAGAAAAAGUUGUGAAAAUAAAAGUUUACAAAAUUAUCAUUUCUGUACUUUGUUAUAAUUUUCAAUAAUUCCUCAUGCCUACAACUGCUAUGUCAUGUUCAAUACUUAUUGUAAUAUACCUAUUUUAUUUCGAAAUAAAUAAUUUACGUUACAAAACUUCGUUUUACUUACACAUAGUAUAAAAUAAAAAUAGUAAUCAUUAAAAUAUUGA